rnacentral:rRNA from 1 species
CAAUAGCGUAUAUUAAAGUUGUUGCAGUUAAAAAGCUCGUAGUUGAAUUUCUGUCAGGAGUGACCGGGCCUUUGGAUGAACUUCCAUUGUUUUUGCUCUGUUUGUCGUCUCUAGACAUCCUGAAAUAUUUUUUUUGAAAUAUUUCUCUUUUACUGUUAGCAAAAUAGAGUGUUCCAAGCAAAGCGUAGUUUUGAAUACAUUAGAAUGGAAUAAUAAGAUAGGACUUUGGUGCUAUUUUGUUGGUUUGCACACCAAGGUAAUGAUUAAUAGGGACAGUUGGGGGUAUUCGUAUUUAAUUGUCAGAGGUGAAAUUCUUGGAUUUAUGAAAGACGAACUACUGCGAAAGCAUUUACCAAGGAUGUUUUCAUUAA